rnacentral:snoRNA from 1 species
GGAGAAGCAAAGUGAUGAGCAUUGCUGGCUGGAGCCCCAAAGAGGCACGUGUGUGUGUGUGUGUGUGUGUGUGUGUGUGUGUGUGUGUAUCUGUGCCCUUGUCUGUGCAUGCACACAUAUGUGUGGGAGUAUGAGUAUGUGUGACUGGUUUUAGGGAACUAGUUAUGUGCCUUCUGUUGGACCAUGACAGUCAAACUGAUAAGAUCUGAUUGCUUC